CACGUAGGGGGGCAAGCGUUGUCCGGAUUUAUUGGGCGUAAAGGGCUCGUAGGCGGUUCGACAAGUCGGGUGUGAAACCUCCAGGCUCAACCUGGAGUCGCCGCUCGAAACUGUUGUGACUAGAGUCCGGUAGAGGAGCAUGGAAUUUGUGGUGUAGCGGUGGAAUGCGCAGAUAUCACAAGGAACACCAGUAGCGAAGGCGAUGCUCUGGGCCGGUACUGACGCUGAGGAGCGAAAGCAUGGGGAGCGAACAGG
rnacentral:rRNA from 1 species